rnacentral:rRNA from 1 species
GACGAACGCUGGCGGCGUGCCUAAUACAUGCAAGUCGAACGCAGUGGGGACGGGUGAGUAACACGUGGGUAACCUCCCAUCAGAGGGGAUAACACUUGGAAACAGGUGCUAAACCGAUACUGAUGGAUGAACCCGCGGUGCAUUAGCUAGUUGGUGAGGUAACGGCUCACCAAGGCCACUAUGCAUAGCUGACCUGAGAGGGUGGUCGGCCACCCUGGGACUGAGCCACGGCCCAGAUGCCGUCGGGAUGCAGCAGGAGGGAAUCGUCGGCGAUGGACGAAAGUCUGACCGAGCAACGCCGCGUGAGUGACGAAGGUUUUCGGAUCGUAAAACUCUGGUGUUAGAGAAGCGGUAUCUAACCAGAGAGCCACGGCUAACUACGUGCCAGCAGCCGCGGUAAUUC